rnacentral:rRNA from 1 species
GACGAACGCUGGCGGCGUGCUUAACACAUGCAAGUCGAGCGGAAAGGCCCUUUCGGGGGUACUCGAGCGGCGAACGGGUGAGUAACACGUGAGUAAUCUGCCCUUGGCUUUGGGAUAACCACCGGAAACGGUGGCUAAUACCGGAUAUGACGCGCUCCGGCAUCGGGGUGUGUGGAAAGUUUUUUCGGCCAGGGAUGUGCUCGCGGCCUAUCAGCUUGUUGGUGGGGUAAUGGCCUACCAAGGCUUCGACGGGUAGCCGGCCUGAGAGUGUGACCGGCCACACUGGGACUGAGACACGGGCCAGACUCCUACGGGAGGCAGCAGUGGGGAAUAUUGGACAAUGGGCGGAAGCCUGAUCCAGCAACGCCGCGUGAGGGAUGACGGCCUUCGGGUUGUAAACCUCUUUCAGUACCGACGAAGCGCCGAUGAUGGUGGUGACGGUAGGUACAGAAGAAGCACCGGCCAACUACGUGCCAGCCGCCGCCGUAA